GUCUAACCUACACAUAGCAAACACUAAAGCCACAACCCCACAACUAAUCCCACGGAGAUCGGUUUUCCAAAACCGACUACCGUAACUCGCUGAAAGUCCCAAAACCGCACCGGGACUCUGCCAGGACCUACGAACUAUCCCGGAACUCACUGACUCGCUCUACGAGUCACCCGCUGCCACUAAACACAAAUAUUCGUGUGACAUGGUAGCAAACAUACCGCCUCACAACGAAACGAUUAUCGUCGAAUAAUCGUUCCGAUCCGGGUUCCCAGAAGUGUCCAAUUCGACACCGGAACCCACCGUCGCUCACCCAUCAUUUUCAAACCCUCGAAAUGACGCGGUUGACCAGCCAACAAGGCUCAGCGACAUAACAAUUUAUCACGAGGCACCGUCGGAAUAAUUCCGAACUGAAAACGCGUUCCGUCGGCGGAUUUUGCCGACAAACGCACCGGAAAUCACUUUUCGAUUUUCGCAAG
rnacentral:lncRNA from 1 species